CGAAUGGGUGAGUAACACGUGCUUAAUCUACCUUUUAGAUUGGAAUACCCAUUGGAAACAAUGGCUAAUGCCGGAUACGCAUGGAACCGCAUGGUUCCGUUGUGAAAGGCGCUGCAAGGCGCCACUAAAAGAUGAGGGUGCGGAACAUUAGUUAGUUGGUGAGGUAAUGGCCCACCAAGACUAUGAUGUUUAGCCGGGUCUAGAGACUGAACGGCCACAUUGGGACUGAGAGUACCGGACCCAACCUCCUACGGGAGGCAGCAGUU
rnacentral:rRNA from 1 species